GCACCCAGCGGGGACCGAGCACCCAGCACCCAGCGGGGACCGAGCACCCAGCACCAAGCAGACCAAGCACCCAGCACUCCAGCACCCCAGGUACUAAGCACCGGGCACCAAGUACCCAGCAGAUUCAGCACUGAGCACCACGGGGACCAAGCACCCAAGGUAGUAAGUACCUAGCACCGUGGGGACCGAGGACCCAGCACAGCGGGGACUGAGCACCGAGCAGUGCGAGGAUCGAGCACCCAGUACCACAGGGAUCAAGCACUAAGCACCUAGCAGUCUCAGCACCAAGCACCAAGCAGACCGAGCACCCAACACUUCAGGUACUAAGCAGCGAGCACUGUGGGGACCCAGCACCAAGCACCCAGUGGAUUCAGCACCAAGCACUGAGCGGAUUCAGCACUGAGCACUGUGGGGACCCAGCACCCCAGGUACUAAGCACCAAGCACCCAGCAGAUCAGCACUGAGCACCACAGGUACUGAGCACCGAGCACCCCUGGUACUAAGUGCCGAGCACCCGGGGGACUGAGCUAAGCCUCCCUGCCCGGCCCAGGUUUUUUUGGGGGGGAAGGAAACAUGCGGGGGCGAUGGGGAUCUCGGCUGAGUCAGCGGUCGGGGAGUCAGAUUUGGGGUGAGGGGGCUGGGUGAUGUGGGUGCUGUGCUGAAUUCUUCCUGGUGCUGGGUGCUGUGCUAUGUUAUCCCGAGUGGUGUGCUGAGUACCCAGGCGCUGUGCUUAUGUUAAGAUGCUAUGCUGAGUCCUCUGGGUGCUGGGCUGAGUUUCUCCCUGCCCCCGGGUGCUGUGCUGAGUCCUCCCGAAUGCUGGGAGCUGGGCUGAGUUAUCCUGGGUACUGGAUGCUGUGUUCAGUCCUCCCGAGUGAUGAGUGCUGUGCUGAGUCUUUCUGGAUCCUUGGCUGAGCCCACCCUGGUGCUUGGUUGAGUCCUGUGCUGUGCUAAGUUCUCCCGAGUGCUGGGUUCUGUACUGAGUCCUCUAAGGUGCUGGGUGCUGUGUUUAGUCCCCCUGGUGCUGUGCUGAGUACUCCUGGGUGCUGUGCUGAGUUCUCUGCUCCCCUUGGUGCUGUGCUGAGUCCUCCCCGCCCCCGGGUGCCGAUGGCUCCGCGCUCAGUCCCUCACUGGAUUUCUCAUCUGCCAGAGGUGCUGAGCGCUGAGUCCCCCUCGUUCCCCGCGAGUGCUCAUAGUGCAGUGCUCAGUCCUCCCCAGGACUCAGUCCCCCCGGGAAUUCCCGGACCCGACACGCGUGCGCGGGAACAGACAGAGGCGCAAGCACGCGUGACCUCACGCUCGCACACGCGUGUGUCCCCUCCCCCCACCCCGCAGGGACCGGGCGGAUCCGGUGUGAGCGAGGACACCGCGCGGGGCCUUUGGGACCGAGCACCGAGC